rnacentral:rRNA from 1 species
AGUGAACGCUGGCGGUAGGCCUAACACAUGCAAGUCGAACGGCAGCACAGUAAGAGCUUGCUCUUACGGGUGGCGAGUGGCGGACGGGUGAGGAAUACAUCGGAAUCUACUUUUUCGUGGGGGAUAACGUCGGGAAACUUACGCUAAUACCGCAUACGACCUACGGGUGAAAGCAGGGGACCUUCGGACCUUGCGCGAUUGAAUGAGCCGAUGUCGGAUUAGCUAGUUGGCGGGGUAAAGGCCCACCAAGGCGACGAUCCGUAGCUGGUCUGAGAGGAUGAUCAGCCACACUGGAACUGAGACACGGUCCAGACUCCUACGGGAGGCAGCAGUGGGGAAUAUUGGACAAUGGGCGCAAGCCUGAUCCAGCCAUACCGCGUGGGUGAAGAAGGCCUUCGGGUUGUAAAGCCCUUUUGUUGGGAAAGAAAAGCAGCAGGUUAAUACCCCGCUGUUCUGACGGUACCGAAAGAAUAAGCACCGGCUAACUUCGUG